GACGAACGCUGGCGGCGUGCUUAACACAUGCAAGUCGAACGAUGAAGCCGGAGCUUGCUCCGGUGGAUUAGUGGCGAACGGGUGAGUAACACGUGAGCAAUCUGCCCUUGACUCUGGGAUAACUGCGGGAAACUGUAGCUAAUACCGGAUACGACCCUUGGAGGCAUCUCCGGGGGUGGAAAGAAUUUCGGUCAAGGAUGAGCUCGCGGCCUAUCAGCUAGUUGGUGAGGUAAUGGCUCCCCAAGGCGACGACGGGUAGCCGGCCUGAGAGGGUGACCGGCCACACUGGAACUGAGACACGGUCCAGACUCCUACGGGAGGCAGCAGUGGGGAAUAUUGCACAAUGGGCGAAAGCCUGAUGCAGCAACGCCGCGUGAGGGAUGAAGGCCUUCGGGUUGUAAACCUCUUUUAGCAGGGAAGAAGCGAAAGUGACGGUACCUGCAGAAAAAGCACCGGCUAACUACGUGCCAGCCGCCGCGGUAA
rnacentral:rRNA from 1 species